ensembl:lncRNA
GCCACCUUGUCUCUCCAGGCCCCCCUGUCUCUCCAGGCCCCCCUGCCUCUCCAGGCCCCCCUGUCUCUCCAGGCCCCCCUGUCUCUCCAGGCUCCCCUGUCAGACAUGUGGUCCCGGGGAGGACGGACCCCAUGGCUGGGGGCCCAGAGUGCGGCUCUCUGGGGCCUCACAGCAGCAGUGGCGGGGGUGUGGAGCAGAGCGGCGAGAGGCCCCGUGACACGGUUCAGGAUACGGCCGGGGUCCGGCCCGGGGACGCGUUCCGGACCAGGUCGGGGCGUUACCCUCCGUUUGGUGGCGCCGAGAUAACGCAGAUGAAGGCGGGAUCGUUACCUCUCAUGGUGGAGACGGACAUCGAUGCAGCCGAGAUGUCCUUCCCAGGGUCUGGAGGGCUUCCUCAGGGCACGGGAACAGCUGCCGACGCAAAACACGGGGUAGGAGAACGUCCUGGAAGAUCAGGUCAUCACUUGGUGGAAACUAACCUAGAUGAGGUGGGGAGGGCCUCUUGGACCCUCGCUGGGGCCCCGGCUGGGGAGUCCGAAGCCAGAGACCCAGCGCCCAUGGACGAUAUGGCGGACUGUUGGAGACGGAUCUAGAUGAGCUAGAGAGCACUGAUUUUGCAACUCAUUUUGAGACACUCGCCGUUGAAGGCAAACAGUCCAGGAGACUCCAGGAAGUCCUGGAGACGGACAUCGACGCAGUGGAGAGCGCAGAACCUUCUGAAGGAGGUGCCGCAGGAAGUGAUCCUCCAGGUGGGGUCCUUGGACUUCUGGAAACGCACAUAGAUGACCCGGAUCUGGCUGUGUACACGGGGGGCGGCGGGGUGACCCUCACCCAUAGGCUGACUGGCCCCAUCGCCGUGGCGAGCCUGGAUGAGGUGUUUGAGACCUCGCUGGACGGCUCGUCGCCGGACAGCGAGCUGGGCGACGUGGACGCCAUCUGUCUGGAGCUGGGCUCUGACGGCCUGGUCUACUGGGCCGAGCCCGUCCGGGUGGCCUCCACCUCCCCGGCUCUGGGCCAAUCAGACCGCGGCACCCCCUCCUCCCCCGCUGGCCCAGUUGCUUUAGACUCCUCCUCCUUCUACACCCCGGACCGGUUGAAAACGCUUCCAAGCGGGGAUGCGGAC